CCCAGGCUGGAGUGCAGUGGCGCGAUCUCGGCUCACUGCAAGCUCCGCCUCCCGGGUUCACGCCAUUCUCCUGCCUCAGCCUCUCCAAGUAGCUGGGACUACAGGCGCCCGCCACCACGCCCGGCUAAUUUUUUGUAUUUUUUUUUUAGUAGAGACAGGGUUUCACCGUGGUCUCGAUCUCCUGACCUCGUGAUCCGCCCGCCUCGGCCUCCCAAAGUGCUGGGAUUACAAGCGUGAGCCACCGCGCCCGGCCCAAAAGUUGUUUUUUAAUGUUUGAAGAUUCAAAGGAAAGUGCUUUUCCUACCACAAAUUUCCAUCCCACCUGUAACUCCGUCUAAAUUUGAAUAACAGCAGUCCACAGUUAGGCGGCGCACUUCUGAAAGGUUUUCAAUUCUCUUUGUGUUCCAGACUCAUGGGGGAUUUCCCCAGUGUUUAUGAAGUUGGCCUGAAGGAAGCAGUUACUUCGACCCCUCUUUGUGAACCACAGGAAACUGAAUAUAGGGCAGAGUGUUUCUAGGACAUUUAUAGAAGCUGGUCUCUGAUUGGUUGGGCAACCAGAUGCAGAAUCCUGUUUUCUGAAGCAGAAUAUUUCCACAGAUUUUGGCUGCAAAACGUUUUUCUGCUGAGGGUACUUGAGCAGGAAACAUGGAGAAGAAUCCUUUGGCAGCCCCAUUACUAAUCCUCUGGCUUCAUCUUGACUGCGUGAGCAGCGUACUGAAGGUGGAACAAAGUCCUCAGUCACUGCAUGUUCAGGAGGGAGACAGCACCAAUUUCACCUGCAGCUUCCCUUCCAGCAAUUUUUAUGCCUUACACUGGUACAAAUGGGAAACUGCAAAAAGCCCCAAGGCCUUGUUUGUAAUGACCUUAAAUGGGGAUGAAAAGAAGAAAGGACGAAUAAAUGCCACUCUUAAUACCAAGGAGGGUUACAGCUAUUUGUACAUCAAAGGAUCCCAGCCUGAAGACUCAGCCACAUACCUCUGUGCCUUUACACAGUGCUGUUCAGACACCUGCAGCCCAUAUGCAAACGUGUGUCUGGGGUUGCACUGUUACCAGCAUUGACAAAGAACCAUGAGUAGGAUGGAAAAGACAAGUUCAUUGAAUUACAGUUUUUUUUCAAGAGGAUUAUGCAAACAUAGAAAAAUAAGCAUGCUAGUGAUCAUAACUAACUACCACAAGAGCUAAUUAAGUAAACAUAUUCUUUAUGACAGGUAGAUGUCAGAGUGCUAAUGAAGCAUAACACAUGACCUGGUAACUGGGCUGUUACUAACUAAUACUAACCCCAGCUCCCAACAACACAUUAGCCACAUCAUGGAGUCAGACCCAUUGCCUGCUCUUUUGGCAUGAUUCUGAAAUAACCCAAUAGUUACUCAAAUCUAUCUAAAACAAUCUGGGUAAAUAAAGGUAAUAUUUACCCCUUCAUUGUUGCUAUGUCCUGAAAACGAAUUCUUCUAUUAUAUUUUAUCACAGCACAAAUGGAGCAUGUCGGCAUGCCCCUUCCUCACACACUUGGCCUGGAAAUAUGCAUGUUUAAUACCAGAACAGGUGAUGCUGCCUCCUUUAAUCCAUUGGGGAUUUUGGUUUUGCUUUAGUUCAACUUUUCCCCUACAUGAAUAUUUGCAUUUUUAUUUCUUCUCACAUGUGGCUAUUUUCAUUUUUAAAUAUCACUCAUAAUAUCAUAAAGGAGCACUGAUGAAGGACCUUCACUAUUUUAACGUGGUCUAUCCCCCAGCUUGUAUUGUGAUUGUGAUAUUGGAUGACUAACUGAACUCUGUUAUCGAAGUCUCUUUAUUUGUAAUUUCCAGGUAUAUUAAGCAGGCUGAGUGUUUGGUGCUCUCCUCCUUUUGCGGAUUUCCAAACAACCCACCAGUUUAAGGUCCAACUGGUACUCUUGAGGCAUCUAAUUCUAAGCUUUCUUAGGGGUUGUUAACAUGAAGUAACUUGCUUCUGGGCCUCCUCAUCUAAAAGCUAGAAUUUCAACUUUCUCUAAACAUCUACAUUAAUAAUUAUUUAUCCAGCUCCUGUCCAGUUUCCUAAAUUAUGCUGCUUUUUUUUUCUCUCUCUUUUGUGGAUUUAUGUUUUUAAAAAUACUAUUGUUGUUGUCACAUAUUUAGGAAAAAAAGCCAGUACCUUUAAAAAAUAAUAAUGGAGUGUAUACAAAUCUCUGACUGGACCCAUUUAGAGAUAUAUAUAUAGAGAGAGAUAUUUUUUUCAAAAUUUAUUCACAAGGUAGUAAUGAAUCUAUUUGACUAUCAGAUUGGAAGUGGCUAAAUUUGUAAUAUUAUUUGAACAUAUAUGGAAUCAGAAGGGUAUAGCACAGGACUGAGUGCAGAGAAGCUAUGGUUCAUUGUACACUAGUGUUGGUGCAGAAGAACUACACAAAAGAAGAUUGAUCACUGUUCCAGCUGCUAGUCAAAUUCCCAAACCAGCUCUCGGUUAUUGGCAUAAAGAUCAAUGGAAGAAUUUCUAAUAUUUCCAGCAAUGAUCUUGAGGCUUGAACUAACUCUGAAUUGGUAGAAUCAAAAGGCAUGGGUAAAAUAAAAGAUGAACAUCUGACUCAUUUGUGUGUGGCUGCAACACAAUGCCUCACAGUCUCCUGCAUGUCAAGGCGCAGAUACAAAUUAAUUACAUUCAUACAACACUUCAGUGUGGAAUGACGCUGCUUGAAACCAGCCCAUGACUCCAACUUCCUUGAGAACUCUGCCUGCCUUAAGCCACGAUGAGAUACAGAUCUUCCCACACACACGAUCAAGAAAAAUGUAAAUCUUUCGUGCACGGUCCUUACAAAAAUAUCCCUAUCUUUAUGAAAGCGGUAUGUAACCGAGUAAAUAUGGACCAAAA